GGGGAUAUGGCGAAAUUGGUAGACGCUACGGACUUAAUUGGAUUGGGCCUUGGUAUGGAAACCCGCUGAGUGAGAACUUUCAAAUUCAGAGAAACCCUGGAAUUAAUAAAAAGGGGCAAUCCUGAGCCAAAUCCUAUUUUCCGAAAACAAAGGUUCAGAAAGUGAAAAAGGGGAUAGGUGCAGAGACUCAAUGGAAGCUGUUCUAACAAAUGGAGUUGGCUGCGGUAGUCGAGAAGUCUUUCUAUCAAAAAUUCAUAAAGUAAAAGUAUAAGUAUUAAGGAUGAAGUGAAGGAUAAACGCAUAUACAUACGUAGUGAAUAGUAUAUUAAAUGAGUAAUGACAGCCCGAAUGAAUCUAUAUUUUUUCUAUGAAAAAAUAAAGAAUUGUUGUUAAUAGAUUCCACGUUUAAGAAAGAAUCGAAUAUUCAUUGAUCAAAUGAUUCACUCCAUAGUCUGAUAGAUCUUUUCACGAACUGAUUAAUCGGACGAGAAUAAAGAUAGAGUCCCAUUCUACAUGUCACUGCCGGCAACAAUGAAAUUUAUAGUUAAGAGGAAAAUCCGUCGACUUUUAAAAUCGUGAGGGUUCAAGUCCCUCUAUCCCCAA
rnacentral:ncRNA from 1 species